AUCUUUUUGUCCCCCCGCGUAG
rnacentral:miRNA from 1 species